UCCCCGAUGGUGUAACUGGCAGCACGACUGGUUCUGGUCCAGUUGGUCGAGGUUCGACUCCUUGUCGGGGAG
rnacentral:tRNA from 1 species